rnacentral:rRNA from 1 species
UACAGAGGUCUCAAGCGUUGUUCGGAUUCAUUGGGCGUAAAGGGUGCGUAGGUGGCGCGGUAAGUCGGGUGUGAAAUCUCGGAGCUUAACUCCGAAACUGCAUUCGAUACUGCCGUGCUUGAGGACUGGAGAGGAGACUGGAAUUUACGGUGUAGCGGUGAAAUGCGUAGAUAUCGUAAGGAAGACCAGUGGCGAAGGCGGGUCUCUGGACAGUUCCUGACGCUGAGGCACGAAGGUCAGGGGGAGCAAAACGGGG